UACGGAGGGUGCGAGCGUUGUCCGGAAUCACUGGGCGUAAAGGGCGCGUAGGCGGCCGUGUAAGUCACUUGUGAAAUCCCGGGGCUCAACCCCGGGGCUGCAGGUGAGACUGCGUGGCUAGAGCACGGUAGAGGCGAGUGGAAUUCCCGGUGUAGCGGUGGAAUGCGUAGAUAUCGGGAGGAACACCGGUGGCGAAGGCGGCUCACUGGCCCGGUACUGACGCUGAGGUGCGAAAGCGUGGGGAGCAAACAGG
rnacentral:rRNA from 1 species